AUGCUAUUUUCAUGUUUUGCAGCUUUCAAAAUGCUAACUUCAGAAAUCGAAGGAGGGUGGGUAACUCGAAAGACUGUCAGAAUACCCGAGAGUGAGCCGCUCACGCAGUGCCGGGUUGCACAACUUUCCUUUACUUUGCAGAUCUCUCCCUGGGGCGGAAAUCAUUUCAUUUUCACCAAGCAAUUAACCAUCUUCCAACCAGUUCCGUCUACGUCCCUCAUGAUGACCCCCAAAAGUCACCAGCUCAUCCCCGCGGCGGAAGAUAAAGCGCUGUUUGCCCUGCGUGCCCUCGCAGGGUCGCGGGGCCGCGGGAACCUGGGUUCGCUUCCCGCCACCCGGGCUCCUCCUCUCCAGGCCCUGUCGGGUCGGGUCCUCCCCGAGGCGCCCAGCGCGGCAGGUCUUGGCGCCAACCGGGUGGCGGCGCUGUCCGCCCUGCGCGCGGCCGCUUCGGGCCCGAGGGAGGCGGAUGCACGGCCGGCGGAGGAAGGGGAGGGAGCGAGGAGCGCGCACUGCUCUCGCGUGCUCUCGCGCCACUCGCGUGACCGGCCGGUGUGUGCGCGAGGCGCCGGCUCCCGGGGCACGGACUGCCGGGCGCGCGCCACUGCGAGGGGCGUCCGGGUCCGAGUCGGCUACCCGGGCCGGCGCGAGGUGCGGGCGGGCGGGCUGCGGGGGUCCCGAGCGGACACACGCACACAGGCUCCCGGAGGAGCCUUCUCGGAGGCUGCUCUUCCUCGGCCAGACGGAGAGCGGCACUGUCUCCCCGCCCAGCGCUCACUCGCCCCGCGUCUCCCCCCGCGGCGGCUGCUCCUCGGCACCGCCAGCCCCAGCGCCGCUCCCGGGCGGGCGGGUGGCGGCGGCGGGACCCGCGGAGCCGCUUUGUGUGCAACCCGACGAGGGGCGGCGGCGCAACCACCUGACAGAGGCCCGGGCGCUCGAUGCACCUUCCGCCCGCAUGAGGAGGAGGUAAAGGCGGCGGCGGCGGCUCGGCUCCCGCCCUCGGCUGCUGGAGGGAGGGGACGGAAGGAGAGACAGAGGGGGGGCCGUGGGUCCGAGGCCCGGUGGGGCCGCCCGGGGGUGCGGGGAAGGCCUCGGCGGUGCCGGCGGCGCCAAGCGGCAGGGAGCCAGAGAAGCCGUUGGGGUCCCUCAGCCGAAGUUGAAGGAACAAAAUGUGAAGUGCGGAGCCGCGUCAGCCGCUUCCUGGCGUGGGGCUGGGGGUGGAGGGCGGCUUGUUUUCCCCUCCCGCGGGGGUGA
rnacentral:lncRNA from 13 species